GUGUCCAUAGUGUAGUGGUUAUCAUGUUCACCUCACAUGUGAAAGGUCUCUGGUUUAAAACCAGGUGGGAACA